rnacentral:rRNA from 1 species
UACGUAGGUGGCAAGCGUUGUCCGGAUUUACUGGGCGUAAAGGGCGCGUAGGCGGUUUGUACAGUCAGGUGUGAAAUUCCCGGGCUCAACCUGGGGGCUGCACUCGAUACGUAUGGACUGGAGUGGGGAAGAGGGUCGUGGAAUUCCCAGUGUAGAGGUGAAAUUCGUAGAUAUUGGGAAGAGCACCGGUGGCGAAGGCGGCGACCUGGUCCUUGACUGACGCUGAGGCGCGAAAGCGUGGGGAGCAAACAGG